AGUGGAACAACUGGAUAUACAAAUAUGAAAAAAAGUGUCUGGAACACUUCUUCACACUAUACAAAAAUCCAUUCUAGGAGGGAUUAAGUCCUUACUUUAAAUAUUUUAUGAUGAAAAUGUUUAAACUUACAAAAUAGUAGAGAAGAAUAAAAAUAAUUUUACAUAUAUGUUUUUCUCAACUAGGGAGACAACAGCACUGGGCAAGCAGGACGUAUGGAAGUUAUGUACUGAAAGACUGGUGACACUAGUCAAGUGAAUAACAGUAGGGCUGGCUGGGUAACAUGUGAGCUGGAGAGGAAGAGAUGAAAUGGUAACACUUUUGGCUUAGAAACUUGGAACAUAAAGAAUGAAGAAAAACCAGAAGGAAGAGUUACUAUCUGGCCCCCAACUUUGUAUUCUAGCAGAAAAAGGUUUAUUGGAAAGAACCACUCUUCACCACGUGACUUAGACAAGACUCAUGGAAGCCUCUCUGGUUUACCGAUGACAAGGCCAAAGAUCCUCAAUAUUCCCUUUCUUUUCCUUGUACAUGAUAAAUAAACUCCUUGUUUCUACUAAUCAAUCGAAACAAAAUACUUGUUGGCCAAACUUUGGUUAGGAUUUUCUUUUUCCUCAACGCUCCUGAACUUUGGCCCACUCUCGGCUAAGCCAGUAUGCAACCCCUCUUGAGCAUGGAUUGGCCUCGGUAAAAAUUCUCUAAUCAACUAUCAAGUCACAACAGCCUUUCAU
rnacentral:lncRNA from 10 species